AGAGUUUGAUCAUGGCUCAGAACGAACGCUGGCGGCAUGCCUAACACAUGCAAGUCGAACGCAGGGUUUCGGUUCGCUGGGGCUCUGAGUGGCGCACGGGUGAGUAGCGCGUGGGAACCUGCCUUUCAGUGGGGGAUAACCGCGGGAAACUGCGGCUAAUACCGCCUACGCCCGGUGAGCGAUCAUCGGGGAAAGAUUUA
rnacentral:rRNA from 1 species